rnacentral:piRNA from 1 species
UCGAGAGAUCCAUUUGGCAGU